UUCGAUAGAAAUUCAAUUCAUUUUGCUGCCUUGCAGUCGAAGACUGAUCGUCGUUUGGAAACAAAGUUUGUCUGGUUCUCUCUGUUUUGGUUAUCCAUAAAUUCGCAAACAUGGGUGGUGGAGACUUGAAUAUGAAAAAGCACUUCCAUCCUCUUACUAUACAAAACCUUGAGAGGGUAUGGAAGGCAGAGCAAAAGGCAAAAGAUGAAGCACAGAAACUUGAGCAACUUCAAAAAGAGUUGGAAGAAGAGAGAAGAAGAGAGGCCUUACAACAGCAUGCAGUUGAACAAGGGAUUAUAAAGAAAAAAGGUCAAAAACUUGAUUGGAUGUAUGCUGGUCCUCAAGUUAACCACGAGGAAUAUCUUCUUGGAAGAAAGAUUGACAAGAAUGUUGAAGUGUUGAAAGAGGAGGAGAAAAAAGAGGAUAAAGAAAUCGGCUCAAGUUUUGUACCAGAUAUUGCAGACCCAGUGAAGGACAUGGCAGCAAAGAUAAAAGAAGAUCCUUUAUUUUUGAUUCGUAAAAAAGAAGAUGAAAGUAGAAAGGAACUUGUACAAAAUCCGAUUAAAUUGAGAAAGCUGAAAGAAAUGCUCAAUUUGAGUGUCAAGGAUAAGAAGAAGCACAAGAAAAGUAAGAAGAAUAAAAAAGAAAAACGUAAGAAUGAGAAAGAUCAACAGAAAGGGAGAUACGACAGUGGAGAUGAUUUAAAUGGAGAGAGUGAAAAUGAUAGAAGAAGAGGUGGUUCGUCUAAUGGGAGAUAUCAUACCUCUGGGAGGAAAAGAGAAGAUAGAAUUGAUCGCAAAAGAGGUAGAAGUGGAGAUCGAAGUCAGCAAAUUAGAAAACGAUACGACAGUAAAAGUUCGUCAGGGCUGGAGAGUGAUGAUAGUGAAAGGGAUAUUAAGAUGGAGAAGGAAGGUAGAAUUAAAUAUAGAGAGAAAAACGGUAAAGCACGGACCACGGAAAGACUAGACGAAGGUAGAAUGAAGCCAACAAGAAGGAGAGAAAGAUCUGUAUCAUCAAGCUCAGAUGACUCUGGUGAAGACAGAAGCAGAUCGAGGGGACUCAUGAAAACAGAAACAAGAGGACCAAAAUACCAUGAACAGCGGAGAGGGGAAAAAGAUAGAUCUGAGAGGGAGGGGGUGCACAGAAACGGGGAUUUUGGUAAAGAACCUAAGUCAAGAAGGAGAGAUGAUCAUGAUGUUGAGCGAUCGUCUUUUGGCAGAAGUGACAAAAAGAAUGAUCUCAGAAAAGAAUCAAGGCGAAACAAGAGAGAUAUAAGUAGCGACGAUGAGGAUGAAUAUAGAAGAAAGAAGUCAAAGGAUUCCCAUAUUAGAAAUGACGAUGAAUCAUUUGCGAGCAGAGAUGCUGGAACAAGAAUGCAAAAUGGAAGGGAAUAUGGUCUAGUACACCCAAAAGGAAAGAAGGCAAUACGCGAUUCAAAUGCAUCAUCAAAGGAAAAUGGAGGUCUUAUUUCAAGAAAGGGAAGUAGCUCGCAAACAAGGCACCAUUCGAGCCCAGAUUCAUCGCCUCACCGAAGGCAUUCAUCAAAACGGCGGAGCAAAAGAGAAAGUGAUUCAGAUUCAGAUAACAAAUAUAAGAGAAAUAAUGCCAUGAAACCCCCUGCAAGGAUGAUUUCAAACAAUCUCUCAAAGAAAUUAACUGCAGAAGAGCUGGAAAAGAAAAGACUUGAGAUGAUGGAAAAUGCAAAAUGGAGAGAUAACCAGAGAGGUAAAAAUGUCCAAAAAUACAAGCUUGAAGACGAAAAAGAAGAAAAAGAAGUUAGAAGCCGAGAAACAGGGUCAGAUGAAAAAGCAAAGUUCAUUCACGACCUUCAAGUGAAGUCUUAUUCGUCCUCAUCCACCGCUUCAGUUGAAGACAGAAUAAAAAGAAACAUUUACACGAAACAGCGAACCCAGAGUGCUCUGAAUAAGAAGUUCACUGAAAAGUAAUAAAACAAAGGUUUGCUGCAUAUUUUCAGUCAUUUGCGGGCAUGAAUAGAAAAGCUUUUUUCAAGCAACUAACAAACACUCAUUAUUGUUUAAAAAGUGAUUUAUUUUGGCGAUCCUCUCAUUGCAAGAAGUAUCUAAAAUUAAAUGCUUUUUCACGUAUGCCAUAAAAAUGCGCCCUGUAUCCUUUGGUACCUGGUCUAAUGUCUGUUUACAGCAAAUGACUUUAUGACGUCACAACGUUACCGUUUAAUAUAUAUUUUACAUUGUCUUGACGAAUUGUAAUGAACAACAAAACAGAAUACCAUCUCCCAAAUGUUAUAUUCAUAGUCUUGUUAAAACGGACUGUCUGUCUUAAAUUUUCGGCAAAUUCAUUUUGUAAUAUGAAACAUAUUUAUACUUGCUGCGUUUCUUAGAUUAAUUAUUUGUAAAGAAAUGUAGAGAGGAUGCAAAUAUUGUAAUAUUUUUGACAGCGAUAAGCUGUGAGACGUAACAGAGUGGGCAAGUAUUUAGAAAUGUGGCAGUGGCAGUGGCAGUGUCUCAAUCUAGCUUCAGAAUAUACUCUAAACCCAGUCACAGAAAAGUUUGUUUGAGUGCCUUUGCCAUGCCACUGCAUCGGUUUGCCACUGCAAUGCUGUAUACCCAGGUUUUGAGUCUUUGGUACCCAGAGUAAGAGAUAGCUCCAAAAAUUGAUAUAAGCUAAGAACCCGUUGAUUCUAUUCCAGAGGCACACCAAGGUUGUUUUUUUCACGUUUUGUCAACUCGACCCGCAUGCACUAUUUGAAAACCUCUUGUGACUCCUUAUUAACUACAGAUUACAACCGUUGAUACAGGACUUUAUAGUCGCACUAUCCAAUAUUUGUGUUUGCAGUCACAGAUUUAUCUUUAUUGUGUAGACUGUAGAGAAUAUGUAGAAAUGAUUGCGGAUUCAUUUCAAAUUAUAUUAAUAUAAACGGGUCCUGUAUAAAUAAAUAUAAGCUAUAAAGAGCAAAAAUCCUGAAAAUGAUACUUUUAGAUGCUUUGCAUCAAUGAAAAGGACAUACAUUUUUUCUCAGGUCCUGUUUCGUGACAUUUUUGACUGAUUAAAAUAAAUUUAUCCUAUCUUCGAUGAUAAUCCGUCGUCAUACCGCCAAUAUACAAAGUUCCUGGACCCCCUGUUGUUCAGAGUACUUUGGUUAAGAAGCAAGUAGUCUCGUGAGAGUGAGAACUGGAAACAGUGGGGAAAUACCUGCACGCCUCACGGAAUUUUUUGUUGGGAAGAAAGUAAAGAAGACAGGCGCCACUCGUUAUCGCGGAAAUUGCGUGUAGCCGUUGGAAUAUUUGGCUUUUGUGGAGAAUUUUCUUUCGUGCCUUAAUCGUUGUUGUAGCACUAGUUAAUUACAUUCAAUUCAAUACACACACGCACGCUAGACAUAUAUUUAAGAAGAGUUGCAGAAGGUUUCAUUUGCCUGCUGACCAUAGUGAACAAAAGUACCCAAUAUCAGUACAAUACAUCUGGCAAUAAUGACGUCACCAGUCCCUCCAAUGUGGAAACAGAAACUCGGCACAUUGUUCAAGCGAUUCGAUAAGGCUGGCAAAGGUCAUUUAACGAGAGAUGAUAUUAAUUCCCAAGUCGAUCUUUUUGAAGCAAAGGGGUGUCUGAAUUCGACAGAUGGAAAUGAGUUAAGGGAUCUAUUUGGAAAGCUGUGGAGUUUCUUUUUUAAUGGAAGUGACUCUGUAGAUCUCGAACAGUGGAUCAAAUCGCAUUUGACCCUGAUAAUCCCUGGAACCUCCAAGGUUAAUGUCUGGGACAACAUACUGAAGCGCACUGGAACGCUGAUGUUCAGAGCAGCUGAUAAGCAAGGGAGGGGCAUAAUGUCGGAAGAGGAAUUUUCAAUUUAUUUAACCUGCCUUGGAUUGGAAGGCGACAAGUUUGGUAAAGAUAUCUUUAAGAGACUAAAUGUUUCUUCUGAUGGAAAAGUCUCUGAAGAUGAAUUCUUACAAAUGUUUUAUGACUUUGUGUACAACAAGGAAGAUGCACCCAGCAAGGAACUGAUGGGACCACUUUGUUGUUAAAGGCAAAGUUUUAUCUGUAUUAAGCAUGUUUUUGUAUUCGUUUUAAAUCUAAAAGUAAUACGCUAUUAGAGAUUUCAUUUUAGUUUGUGCAUUUACCACUAUUGUUUUACCACCAGGCUAGUCUCUGGAUGUAAAACUUGAGAUAUGGAUAUAUUUGAAAUAUUCUGUGUAAAUUAAAGAUAAAAAUGAUGUCUAUGCAUGA